GCCGCGUGUGUGAAGAAGGCCUUCGGGUUGUAAAGCACUUUCAGCGGGGAGGAAGGCGUUAAGGUUAAUAACCUUAGCGAUUGACGUUACCCGCAGAAGAAGCACCGGCUAACUCCGUGCCAGCAGCCGCGGUAAUACGGAGGGUGCAAGCGUUAAUCGGAAUUACUGGGCGUAAAGCGCACGCAGGCGGUCUGUCAAGUCGGAUGUGAAAUCCCCGGGCUCAACCUGGGAACUGCAUUCGAAACUGGCAGGCUAGAGUCUUGUAGAGGGGGGUAGAAUUCCAGGUGUAGCGGUGAAAUGCGUAGAGAUCUGGAGGAAUAUUGGUGGCGAAGGCGGCCCCCUGGACAAAGACUGACGCUCAGGUGCGAAAGCGUGGGGAGC
rnacentral:rRNA from 1 species